rnacentral:rRNA from 1 species
UACGAAGGGGGCUAGCGUUGUUCGGAAUCACUGGGCGUAAAGGGCGCGUAGGCGGCUUUAUAAGUCGGGGGUGAAAGCCUGUGGCUCAACCACAGAAUUGCCUUCGAUACUGUAUAGCUUGAGACCGGAAGAGGUAAGUGGAACUGCGAGUGUAGAGGUGAAAUUCGUAGAUAUUCGCAAGAACACCAGUGGCGAAGGCGGCUUACUGGUCCGGUUCUGACGCUGAGGAGCGAAAGCGUGGGGAGCGAACAGG